UAUACAUAAUCAUACUUUAACAAAUAUUACAUAUUUCUAAUUUCCUUUAAUUACCAGUAUAGUAUUAUCCAUUUAUAAAUUACAUGUCCAUCUACUCAUACAUCAUACAUAAAGGAAAUGUUAAGACUAUCCCUGAUGCUUUCCAUUUAAAGAACUUUUUUAGUCCUGCAACCCUGCACCUAGGGGUUAGAGGAAUGGGGUAGGCUUACAUAAGCUCAGUAAGUAAACUAACCAUCAUUAAUUAUAUUAUUCAUUCAUAUAUGCGCAAUGCAUCAUUUACAUAGGAUUUCACAUCACAAAUAUUUCACAUAAGAUGGAUAUUAUCACUAGUAACUCCUCAAAUUCUUUUAAAACAUGUUCUGUGUCAUGUACCCUGGAGUAACUUACAGAUCUUCCUUAAAGGGCAACUUAAAGAUCUCCCUGUGGGAUUUACUUAUGGAUCCAUAACAUACGUAACAUUAUAUAAUCAUAACAUGGGAGGAGUUAGUAGGUCAUCCAGCAUCUAUCAAUGCACCAACAACAAGUUAUGCAAUUAUGUAACAUCUUCAUGUUCUAGAUAUAUGCAUUCUAAAUAAAUAUGACAUGAUGCAUGAUAAUGCUCAUUAAUUACCUGUAAAUAGUUUUCAUUUUAUUAAGCUUAGAGUUAUUUACCUCUUGUACCCUAUCAACCACCUUACUCAAACGGGAGCUAUUCUUGAAUCCUUACCCUUUCGAGCCCCUCAAGCUCAAUCCUAUAAAAUCAGACCCUAGAGUGUUAUACGAGGUUCUAAAACUCUAUACAUAUCAUAAACAUCCUAUUCUAGACCCUUAGGAACCAUGAAAUUAGGUUUUGAAACUUUGGAAUCAAAAGAGAAAUAAAGUGGCAAAACCAAGUUCGGUUGCCAGAGUCUUGGGCUUCGGCUGCCGAACCUUUAAACAUUGUGCUCAAUUUUAGGCAGUAGCCACUGUUGUUGCCGAAGUCUAGGAUUUCGGGUGUCGAAUCUAGAAAAUUUCUAGAUUUUCUAAAAAACAACAAGUUUCGAUUGCCGAACCUCUGGCUUUCAGCAGCUAAACCUGAGAAUUUUUAGAAUUCCCAAGUCAAAAACCUAUAGUUUUCUUCUCCCAUCAACACUCAAACUCAUUUCAAAGUUCUAAAACAUAGCCCCAUCACAUAUAUACAUAUUUGGGGCCUAAAACAACUAGAAAUCAUACUUAAUACCCAUAUACAUUAAUCAAAACUCUAAAUCCUAGGUUUUCCCCAAUCCCAACUAGCAUAUGGAUGGAUUUCUUCAAAUCCAUCAAGGGAAAUCGGCCAUUUAAGGCCCAUAACACUUAAACAUAACUAUUCUAACCAUAGAACAUACAACUUCAAUAGAAGAUCACAAAACGCUAACCCUAACAUGGAUAAAUUUCUCCAAUAACUUAACUUAAAAUGACUUUCAUGAAAUUAUGUUAUAGAAAUCUAAUUCCUUAUCAAUUUUUUUAGAUCUACCCAUUAUAUCAAGAAAAAAAGAAAUUUACCUCUUUUCUUAGAGCUUGGAGGUGAGAGAAUCAAAACUUCAAAACUUGAAUUUGCUCUUUCACACUUUUAAAUGGAAGAAUCCUUUUCUAGAUCUUUAAAAAUUCAAAGAAAUUUCUUUAAAGAGUUUCUUGUAUGCCCCAAAGUUGAGAGAGAGAGGAAAGAAGGAAUACCCUAAGUGUUUUGGCAACAAAAUAAACUUUAAACCCUUUUUAUAUCCUCUCUGUAGAGGGAUUUUCAGCUGUCGUAAGUCCAGCUUUGGGAUGUCAGAGUCUAUUCUGUCUAAAAGAGCUUUUGAACAAAAAAAGGGGUUUCGGCUGCCGAAAGUCAAUACUUCGACAGCUGAAAGUCAAUACUUGGGCUGCCGAAACUCCUUUUGCCAAACACACUCACUUAAAAUUUUUAAAAUAUUUUUUAUUCU
rnacentral:misc_RNA from 1 species